UACGGAGGGUGCGAGCGUUGUCCGGAAUCACUGGGCGUAAAGCGCACGUAGGCGGAUUGUUAAGUCAGGGGUGAAAUCCUGGAGCUCAACUCCAGAACUGCCUUUGAUACUGGCGAUCUCGAGUCCGGGAGAGGUGAGUGGAACUGCGAGUGUAGAGGUGAAAUUCGUAGAUAUUGGGAAGAACACCGAUGGCGAAGGCAGCCAUCUGGACCGACACUGACGCUGAGGCGCGAAAGCGUGGGGAGCAAACAGG
rnacentral:rRNA from 1 species